rnacentral:misc_RNA from 1 species
UUUCCGUAGGCGAGCCUGCGGAAGGAUCAUUAUUGUAUAACCGAGGUGCGAGGGCUGUCGCUGACCCGAAAGGUCGUGCACGCCCGAGUGCCCUCACACACAUCCAUCUCACCCCUAUGUGCACCACCGCGUGGGUCCCCCUUUGGCUUGUUCGGAGGGGGGCUUACGUUUUCACACAAACUUUGUAUGCAGUGUAGAAUGUAUUUUUUGUUUUUGCGAUCACGCAAUCAAUACAACUUUCAACAACGGAUCUCUUGGCUCUC